AUAUCAUUUAAUCAGCUGACACAUACAUAUUGCACAUUUUAUGUUUAUAACAUCAAAACAAAUUAUAAAAAUAAUCUAUCAAAAUACAAUACAGUCAAACCUACAAUUAUAGGUCACCCUAGGGACAGAUAAAAGUGACAUAAAUUGAUGUUCAAAAUAGAUAGGUAUUACAUAUACUACAGGGGCACAAGAAUAGGAUUUACAUGUACUACAGUGGCACAAGAAAGGUAUUACAUGUACUACAGUGGCACAACAAGAGGGUAACCUAAGUCACCUGAUGAGACAAGCUUUUAAUUCAUAGAGAUGACUUUCAUAGCAGGUUUGACUGUAAGCAUACUGUAGAAUCAUUAUUGUUCAUAGGUAUCACAUUUUGGUGGACUUUCUGGUCAAGGAUUAAGUAUAUGUUAUAUUCAAGGAAGCACAAAUUCUAUGUAGGAUUUUAUGCAGACUUCACAAAAUCAGUGAAAUAUCACAAAAAUAGGAUAUUAAGUCAAUCCACAAAUAAAAUAAUUCACAGUACAUUGUCAGCAAAAUAAAGUUGCUUUAUAAUCAGGUGAGCUUUUCUCCCUAUUUUUAUUGAGAACAAAUAUACUUGAUAUCUAACAUUUAUAUUGGUACCCUCCAACUUGACAUCCCUGCUCAAAUGUUUAGUUUUUAACUUGUAAAUGCAAGGAGACAAUAUUUGUAAUCACAGGAUUUUUUCUUGGUUAAAUUACAGGUGUAACAUUACUUUCAGUCAUUUAAUAAAA
rnacentral:lncRNA from 1 species